AAAGGUAGCAUAAUCAUUAGUCAUUUAAUUGGUGACUUGUAUGAAGGAUUGGAUGAGAUAUAAUCUGUCUCUUAAUUAUAAAAUAGAAUUUAAUUUUUUAAUUAAAAAGUUAAAAUAUGUUAAAAAGACGAGAAGACCCUAUAGAGUUUUAUAAUUUAAGAUAAUUAAGAUUAUUUAUAAAAUAAAAAUUGAAAUUAUUUUAUUUAUUUUGUUGGGGUGACAGAAAAAUAUAAAAAACUUUUUAUAUAGAAAAACAUUGAUAAAUGAUUAGAUGAUCCAAUAUUAUUGAUUAUAAGAAAAAAUUACCUUAGGGAUAACAGCGUAAUUUUUUUUUUUAGUUCACAUAAAAAAAAGAGUUUGCGACCUCGAUGUUGGAUUAAGAUAAAAUUUAAAUGCAGAAG
rnacentral:rRNA from 1 species